rnacentral:rRNA from 1 species
ACUCCUACGGGAGGCAGCAGUGGGGAAUAUUGGACAAUGGGCGAAAGCCUGAUCCAGCCAUGCCGCGUGUGUGAAGAAGGUCUUCGGAUUGUAAAGCACUUUAAGUUGGGAGGAAGGGCCGUUACCUAAUACGUGAUGGUUUUGACGUUACCGACAGAAUAAGCACCGGCUAACUCCGUG